GACGAACGCUGGCGGCGUGCUUAACACAUGCAAGUCGAACGGAGUGGCGAACGGGUGAGUAUUACGUGAGUAACCUGCCGUCAACUGUGGGAUAAGACUGGGAAACUGGGUUUAUUACUGCAUAGUUGGGGAUGGGCUCGCGGUCUAUCUGCUUGUUGGUGGGGUAAUGGGCUACCAAGGCGGUGACGGGUAGGCGGCCUGAGAGGGUGGUCGGCCAUAGUGGGAGGGAGAUACUGCUCAGAGUCCUACGGGAGGCAGCAGUGGGGGAUAUUGCGCAAUGGGGGCAAGCCUGUGGCGGCGAUGUGGAGUGAGGGAUGAAGGCUUUCGGGUUGUAAACCUCUGUCGGAACAGAACGGGUAUGUGCAGAAGAAGCGCCGGCUAACUACGUGCCAGCAGCCGCGGUAAUAC
rnacentral:rRNA from 1 species